GCUUCCAUAGCUCAGUGGUAGAGCAUUGUACUUAUGAGGAUACCAAUCGGCUCCAGCAUUAGUUAUGCAAGGGUCUCGAGUUCGAAUCUCGGUGGAUGCA